CCCUAGGUGUUUAUACUAGCACUCUCAGCCACCUCCAACCAGGUUUGGGAAUCUACAUGAUGUACGUAUCUCUUAUUGUAACAUCUUUAUUCUGUCUCAUAAGGUGCAACUUUACAGGUGGAGAAAGAAAUUGGUGAAAAAAGAGUGAUUACUUUCCACGGUGCUGGGUUAUCAGUUGGACCGGAGUUAAAUUCAAUGAAGUUACUUCCACCUGUUACGACUUUGAGGAGGCGAAGGAGGUAUAUGCACGGGCUCUUUAUGAGUAUUACUGCGCAAUAUAUUAUUCUCAAAUGUGCUAUACAUGACAAAAAAGGACUUGAAGCAUCAACUGCAGAGGUUUCCUUGUCGCAACCAUGGAAUUAUGAGAAUUAGUGGCAUCUUUCCAGAGGGGAAAGGUUCCCUUUUGGACGUGUAUUCAUAAUUCAUUAAGUAGAUAUCUUCUGAUCCAAUUCAAGUACAUACUGGAAAAUGGAGCUUUCUUUCUGCGGACCUUUUGACGAACUCUCGGAAGUACUCGAACCAGCCUCUCUUUUCUCCUUCCGUCCAUAGCUUCUGGGAGCUGACUAUCUGAAGUCCAGGGCUGCCUCAAUGUGGCGCAUUGUAUGCUGUACAGCAAUAGGUGGAGCUAGUCACUGAUCGGCCAUCUUACAGUCUCACAUGUAUAUGGUCUGCUGCAUAACAGCCAUCAAUUAAUCGCUCUAGUUAUCUUCCGUAGCUUUUUGCCUAA